rnacentral:lncRNA from 1 species
GACCUGACCCCUAGUCAUUGGUUACCAGUGUGUCAGGCAAUCUGGACUUUCCAGUGAUGCCACUGAGAUGGCACCUGUCAAAAGAGCAGUGGUUCCAUUUCUAGAUUGUGGAUCUUCAGAUAAAUUCUGCCAUUUUCAUUUCACUUCCUGAAAGUCAGAGUCGGCUUGUGAAAAGUUGUUAAACAACAUGCUAAAUGUGAAAUGUCAACCCUCAC